rnacentral:rRNA from 1 species
CCUACGGGAGGCAGCAGUGAGGAAUAUUGGUCAAUGGGCGCGAGCCUGAACCAGCCAAGUAGCGUGAAGGAUGACUGCCCUACGGGUUGUAAACUUCUUUUAUAAAGGAAUAAAGUGAGGCACGUGUGCCUUUUUGUAUGUACUUUAUGAAUAAGGAUCGGCUAACUCCGUGCCAGCAGCCGCGGUAAUACGGAGGAUCCGAGCGUUAUACGGAUUUAUUGGGUUUAAAGGGAGCGUAGAUGGGUUGUUAAGUCAGUUGUGAAAUUGUGCGGCUCAACCGUAAAAUUGCAUGUGAUACUGGCAGCCUUGAGUACAGUAGAGGUAGGCGGAAUUCGUGGUGUAGCGGUGAAAUGCUUAGAGAUCACGAAGAACACCGAUUGCGAAGGCAGCUUACUAAACUGCCACUGACAUUGAGGCGCGAAAGUGUGGGUAGCAAACAGGAUUAGAUACCCCAGUAGUC